rnacentral:rRNA from 1 species
GAGACAGCAGCCGCCGCGGGAAUACGGAGGGAGCUAGCGUUGUUCGGAAUUACUGGGCGUAAAGCGCGCGUAGGCGGUUACUCAAGUCAGAGGUGAAAGCCCGGGGCUCAACCCCGGAACUGCCUUUGAAACUAGGUGACUAGAAUCUUGGAGAGGUCAGUGGAAUUCCGAGUGUAGAGGUGAAAUUCGUAGAUAUUCGGAAGAACACCAGUGGCGAAGGCGACUGACUGGACAAGUAUUGACGCUGAGGUGCGAAAGCGUGGGGAGCAAACAGGAUUAGAUACCCGUGUAGUCCCUGUCUCUUAUAC